UUAAAUGAAGACUUUAGGCUCCCUUUCCCUUUUCUACACCAGUUAAUUUUAUAGAUUCUAGUCGUGGCUGGUUCUGUGGGAAUUGUUCUUUUUCUUAACAUGUUGAAAACUACUCUUAAUCAAAUUAGUACUGUCAUUUAAGCCUUGAAUACGUCAUGGUAAUUGCCUGGUUUCUGCUAUAAAUGUUAGAAAAUUCUUGAUGUUUCUCACUUUUGUGGUCUCUUUUGCCAUUGUAGGUUCAUAAACUGUGGGUUCAUAAACUGUGCUAUUUAUAUCCAUUCCAGAGUUCUGUCUUCUUGAGGCAGUGCAGGAAGGAGAGUGAGUGGGGGGCCUGUUUCUUCACAGUAAGCUCUAUAAUGAAACAAUUGUCUAAAUCUAGAAAGCACAUAAAGGACAGUUGUCUCUCUUUGGACAUGCUUAAAUGUAUUCUGUUGUGAAAGGCACUUUUCCCAGAGACUUGCUUAAAGUCAAGUGGCUUCUGUAAUUAUGUGUAUGUUAUGUUUGCACUCUCUCCUUUCCGGAUAAACCUUUUGUGUUAGUUGGCCUUUAUGAUAUCUCAUAACCACGUAAGCUCUGAAUUCUACUGGUGUUAUUUUCUUUGAGAUGCCUGACUACUUUUUUUAAUGUGACAUUGAGGAGGAAGGAGAUGAUCUCAUUUGGGGUGAGUGGAGACUUGGUCAGACUAAGAGAAACUGCAAAUGAUUAGGGACUGAUAGAAUCUUAAUUGCUUAAGACCUGUUUUAGUAUUCUGGCUUUUGAGUUACCUUUCCACAGAGAAGACUUUGCAAAGACACUUCUCCAGGAAAGCAGAGCUUUAGGGCUGUGGAUACAAAGAUUUAACUAUUUUCAGCCAGUGUACAGGGGAAGAGGAGGAGGGCAGAGAAUUGCCUUCUGUAUCAAACUUGAGAGGAAAAAAUAGAUGCCCUCUGUCUUCAGAUUCCAAAAGCUUAGGCAUCUCAUUUGUUAGGCUGUCCCUUCUGAUUUAGUACUUGUUUUGUUUUUCCUUUUUAAUACAGAGUUGGGCUUCCCUUGUGGCUCAGCUGGUAAAGAAUCCACCUGCAAUGCAGGAGACCUGGGUUCGAUGCCUGGGUUGGGAAGAUCCCUGGAGAGGGGAAAGGCUACCCACUCCAGUAUUCUGGCCUAGAGAAUUCUAUGGACUGUAUAGUCCAUGGGGUUGCAAAGAGUCGGACACGACUGAGUGACGUUCACUUCACUGGUGGCCAAUCGUGAGUUUUAGUUAUAAGACAGCAUAGACCCAUAAUUCUGGUUCAUUUGGCUGUGUUUGACUUUUCAAAUUAAAAGGUGGAGUUUUGUGAGGAAGAUAACAUUUAGUACAGUUACCCAGAAUGAGAAAUAAAACAUCUUAAUAUAUAUUUUCCUAAAAUAGAAUCUAUGUGAGGAAAUGUUUUAUAAGUAUCUUUGGGGUGUUUUACUUCACUCCAUCAGCACGUGGUAGGGGUGUGUAGAGGAAACCUGUUCGGGAGCAAAGAGCAGAAAUGUGUUCAGGUGUGGCAGUGUGGUUGUGGCUGAGGAAACCGAAGCAGUGGGAGUCUGGACAGGGGCCCUGAAAGGAUGUGCACACAGGUGAGUCCUCGUCAGUUAUCCAGGAAGGGCGGCAGCUGUGAAUCUGUGGCAUCAUGGGAAGCCACUCUUAUCCAGUGGUUCUCAUGCUUUUUCCUUUUCAGCUCACUUUAAGCAAAGAUUUUUGUCAAUUAAAAAAAAAAAAACUUCACUGGGGACAGGAUACUGGAUGUCAUUUUAAAGGUAAUAGGAAUCUCUUAAAAUUUGGAGGUGACUGCUUUCAGAAGAUGAUCUAGUGGCAGAAUGGAGGGUUGGAGGGCAGGUAGAAUUGAAAACAAGAUGAUUAGAUAAUAAGUAGCACAGUGGACCUUGGUUUCAUCUUUUAUGCUCAUGGAAUUUAGAAGACCAUCACCAGCCUGUAGCCAUAGAGUGGUUACAGAUACGAGAUGGUGUUAAAGGAAUGGAUGCUGAAAGUACUUAUAAGUACAGGGCUUGUCACUGUAGUGGUGAGGUCAUCCUGUUCCCUUUACAGGAAGUGUUUUCUGUUCUCUUUCUUACUCCAGACUUAAUAGGAGUUCAGAAGUUGGACCGUCAGGGUCUCCUCUGGGCUCUAAGACUGUGUAACCUUGGGAAAAUAAUUUCUUGUUUUUUCCUCAUCAGAAAAACGAGGUCCAAUUCAUAUUUAAAAUCAUUCCACACUUACAGCUUCUAAGUUCUUUUUUUAAAAAAAUUUAUUUUUUGAUUGAAGGAUAAUUGCUGGUACAGAAUUUUGUUUUCUAUCAAACCUCAAUAUGAAUCAGCCAUGGGUAUACAUAUGUCCCUAAGUUCUUAAUAGUAUUUAUCUGGGGGGGAGGAAUAAGGAUAAUAGAUGACUGUAAGCAAAGUGAUUCUUUUAAAUAAUUCCAGUCACAGACAGCAGUCAGCUAUGUAAACCCCACUGGUGUCCUUUUAUCUAUGGGCUGUUAACUUGAGAAAGUGAGACCGGCUGUCAGUUAAAAAGAAAAAAAGAGUCCACUCUCUUCUAUGAUAUUUAAAUAUUUAUUUAAGUUUAAAAAUAAUUUUCAUGGCACCAGUGAUUUUAUGCUAACUACAUACUGCAUAUGUAGAAAAAAGUACAUUGCUUUGAAGGAAAAUGUAACUUAGAAUUUUUGGCACACGAAAGGUUAACAACUAUAUAUAUAUAUAUAUAUAUAUUUUUUAAUGAAACUAAGAAAUUCACAUUUGCAGGUAGUUUACCUUCUACUGCUUAAAGAUGCAGUACACUAUUCUUCAGUAAGAGUUUUAUUUCCUCUGAUAGAUGAAGCUAUGGAAACCAUUGCUUUUUCUACAAUGAGAUCAAACUAAUUUUGAGAGAAAAUAGACAUAGUGGAACACAGUAAAACUAGGUUAAAAAACGUGAACAACUUUUAAUGAUGGGGGAGAUACCAAAAAAGACUAGUCACCAACAGAGGAGGUUUGUUAUUCAAGCAUUAUGUGAAAAGCAAAUUGAAGGAGACUUUUCUAUCUGUAUUUUGUAGGAUAAGCUCUGGAAAAAAAUAACCCACAAGUUUCUGUUCAGAGAGCAAAUCCCGCUGUUGGAAGUGGUGUGGACUGUUGUACCGUUGGAACUCUAGAUACAAGUAACAUACCAAGAUAUGGAAUACUGCAUCUUUCGUUAAUGUGAAUAUGAAAGGUCAGAGUCGAGGCUAUCACUCACUGCAUAGAAACACCAUAUUCUACAGACUGAGGUAGGAACACUACACUAAAAGGUAAUCUGCUAUGUUGCAUAAGACAGUAGAUAUCCAGGGUAAAACCAGCCCCCUGUCUCCUGACAGCCUUGUCCUCUUUGAGUCUACUUUUCACUCAAGUCCUCUGCUAGUAAAGCCUUUCCUGUGUAGAUGACAAGUGGCAGUGGCUCUCUGGUUCUGAGUGAUCCCUGAUCUUUACUAGGAUCUCCCUCAGUUUUUGUCUUGUCACUUGGAAAACAGAUGUUUGUAAUUCUGCCCAAAUUGUUGCUGGUAUGGAAAUGAUCAGACAGGCCCUCUUCCAGGCUUUGAUUCUGGCUGCGUAGUAGCAUUACAGUUCUUCAUCUUGCUCAUCAUGGCAUCAGACAUCUCUGCUGGUUGGUUGUUCGAGCACCCUUUAAACAAGCAAGCCCACCACCUCUACUGGGAAAUGAUCCUGGAUCUUUACCUGUCAGGAAUCAGAGCAGAGCUGGCCUUCCUGCUCACACACUGGUAAGAAACAGUUCUGUUGUCUAGAUCAGGGUUGGCAAAUUCUGGCCUGUGGGCCAAAUUCAGCUCACCGUCUUUUUUUUUUUUUUUUUUCACCAUCUGUUUUUAUAAAUAAAAGAGCAAGGCUGUGUUCCAAUAGAACUGUUAUGUAUUACCUGUGGCUGUUUUUGUGCUAAGACAGCAGAGUGGAGUAGUUGCUACAGAGUAUGGCCUUCAAAACCAAAAUUUAAAAAUAUUUACCACCUGGCCCUUUACAGAAGUUUGCCGACCCUUGGUCUAGAUAAAAGGGCAUUUGAAAUUUUGCAAUACCCACCUUCAAAAAGAAGAACUCUGUUUAUUCCAUGGCUGUGAUAUUCUGUACAUGGAUAUGGUUCUGCCACCUCAGAGGACACACUGGGGCAAAGCAGACCUGCAUGUGACUCAUUCUGUUCUGCGUGCCCCAGGAAUCUGUCCACGGACCGUCCUGCCUACAUCCUCCAGCCCCAGAUGACUUGGAAAUCUCUCCCUGAGAUGAAAACAAGUUUUUUGUGUGAGCGGCUCUCUGUCUGGGAAGAAAACCUAGACAGUCCCCAUUGUCCCGGCCCCUGACCUGCCCCGCUGAGGCUGCAGUGAUGAGUCUGCUGGGCCCCCAGGGAAGCUCCUGCAGUAAACAGAAGACGCCAGCCCUCUAGUCUUCAACUAGUGUCCCGUCUGCUGGGCGACACUACUGCGAGAAUCAGUAAUAACAAAAUAAAUUAUUUUUGAUAUUUUCAAAAUAAUACACAUCUAUGAAAAAU